GUCCACACUGUAAACGAUGAUUACUCGCUGCUAGAGGGCAACUUUUAGUGGCUUAGCGAAAGCGAUAAGUAAUCCACCUGGGGAGUACGCCGGCAACGGUGAAACUCAAAGGAAUUGACGGGGGCCCGCACAAGCGGAGGAGCAUGUGGUUUAAUUCGAUGAUACGCGAGGAACCUUACCAGGGCUUGAAAGUUAGUGACCGACUCUGAAAGGAGUCUUUCCGCAAGGACACGAAACUAGGUGCUGCAUGGCUGUCGU
rnacentral:rRNA from 1 species